rnacentral:rRNA from 1 species
CCUACGGGAGGCAGCAGUGAGGAAUAUUGGUCAAUGGGCGAGAGCCUGAACCAGCCAAGUCGCGUGAAGGAUGAAGGAUCUAUGGUUUGUAAACUUCUUUUAUAUGGGAAUAAAGUGAGGAACGUGUUCCUGUUUGUGUGUACCAUAUGAAUAAGCAUCGGGUAACUCAGUGCCAGCAGCAGCGGUAAUACGGAGGAUGCGAACGGUAGCCGGAUUUAUUGGGUUUAAAGGGUGAGUAGGUGGUUAAUUAAGUCAGCGGUGAAAGUUUGUGGCUCAACCAUAAGAUUGCCGUUGAAACUGGUUGACUUGAGUAUAUUUGAGGUAGGCGGAAUGCGUGGUGGAGCGGUGAAAUGCAUAGAUAUCACGCAGAACUCCGAUUGCGAAGGCAGCUUACUAAACUAUAACUGACACUGAAGCACGAAAGCGUGGAGAUCAAACAGGAUUAGAUACCCGGGUAGUC